UACGAAGGGGGCUAGCGUUGUUCGGAAUUACUGGGCGUAAAGCGCGCGUAGGCGGUGAUCUUUGUCAGAGGUGAAAGCCUGGGGCUCAACUCCAGAAUUGCCUUUGAAACGGGAUCGCUUGAGUCCGAGAGAGGAUGGCGGAAUUCCUAGUGUAGAGGUGAAAUUCGUAGAGAUCGGGAGGAACAUCUGUGGCGAAGGCGGCCACCUGGACCAACACUGACACUGAGGCACGAAAGCGUGGGGAGCAAACAGG
rnacentral:rRNA from 1 species